AGCCUGUGUUUCAGACAUAAGGAAGUGGAUGGCUACAAAGUUUCUACUUUUAAACUCUGACAAAACAGAGAUGCUUGUUCUAGGUCCCAAGAAACAAAGAGAUCUUCAGUUGAAUCUGACAAUUAAUCUUGAUGGUUGUUCAGUCGUCUCAAAUAAAACUGUGAAGGACCUCUGCGUUACUCUGGACCCUGAUCUCUCUUUUGACGAACAUAUCAAGACUAUUUCAAGGACAGUUUUUUUACAUCUACAUAACACUGCAAAAAUCUGACAUUUUCUGUCCAAAAAUGAUGCAGAAAAAUGUAUCCAUGCUUUUGUCACUUCUAGGUUAGACUACUCCAAUGCUCUACUUUCCGGCUAUCCGGAUAAAGUACUAAAUAAACAUCAGUUAGUGCUAAACACGGCUGCUAUAAUCCUGACUAGAACCAAUAAAUUUGAUCAUAUUACUCCCGUGCUAGCCUCCCUACACUGGCUUCCUGUUAAGGCAAGGGCUGAUUUCAAGGUUUUACUGCUAACCAACAAAGCAUUCCAUGGGCUUGCUCCUAUCUUUCCGAUUUGGUCCUGCCGUACAUACCUACACGUAUGCUACGGUCACAAGACGCAGGCCUCCUAAUUGUCCCUAGAAUUUCUAUACAAACAGCUGGAGGCAGGGCUUUUACCUAUAGAGCUCCAUUUUUAUGAAAUGGUCUGCCUACCCAUGUGAGAGACGCAGACUCUGUCUCAAACUUUAAGUCUUUAUUGAAGACUCAUCUCUUCAGUAGGUCCUAUGAUUGAGUCUGGCCCAGGAGUGUGAAUGUGAACGGAAAGGCACUGGAGCAACAAACCGCCCUUGCUCUCUCUGCCUGGCCGGUUCCCAAUCCCAACGGGGAUUCUCUGCCUCUAACCCUAUUACAGGGGCUGAGUUACUGGCUUACUGGUGCUCUUCCAUGCCAUCCCUAGGAGCGGUGUGUCACUUGAGUGGGUUGAGUCACUGACGUGGUCUUCCUGUCUGGGUUGGCGCCCUCCCCUUGGGUUGUGCCGUGGCGGAGAUCUUUGUGGGCUAUACUCGGCCUCGUCUCAGGAUGGACCUGAGCCCUAGGACCAUCUGGCAUGAUGACUCCUUGCUGUCCCCAGUCCACCUGGCCGUGCUGCUGCUCCAGUUUCAACUGUUUUGCCUGUGGCUAUGGAACCCUGACCUGUUCGCUGGACAUGCUACCUGUCCCAGACCUGCUGUUUUCAACUCUCUAGAGACAGGAGGAGCGGUAGAGAUACUCUCAAUGAUCGGCUAUGAAAAGCCAACUGACAUUUACUCCUGAGGUGCUGACCUGUUGCACCCUCGACAACUACUGUGAUUAUAAUUAUUUGACCAUGCUGGUCAUUUAUGAACAUUUGAACAUCCCUACCUUUCUAGGGAGUUUUUCCUAGCCACCGUGCUUCUACACCUGCAUUGCUUGCUGUUUGGGGUUUCAGGCUGGGUUUCCUUACAGCACUUUGAGAUAUCAGCUGAUGUAAGAAGGGUUAUAUAAAUACAUUUGAUUUGAUUUGAUGAUCGAUGGAAACAGGAUGCACCUGAGCUCAAUUUCGAUUCUCAUUGCAAAGGGUCUGAAUAAGGUAUUUCCAUUGUUUUGAUUUUUUAUAAAUUAGCAAAAUGUUCUAAAAACCUAUUUUUCUUUGUCAUUGUGGGAUAUUGUGUGUAGAUUGAUGAAUUAAAAAAUAUAUAUUUAAUACAUUUUAGAAUAAGGCUGUAAUGUAACAAAAUGUGGAAAAGGGUCAAGGGGUCUGAAUACUUUCCAAAAGGCACUGUAUACUGUAGCUAAGAAAGUAAGUGUAUGUUGUGUAGUAAGCUGUUAGUAACCCAUGUAUCUCACACUAAUAAUUUGGUCCAUGUCCUAGCUCGCUCAUUAAUGUCUUGAAAUGACGGAUUGCCUCUUAUCCGCUCGUCUUCCCCUUAUGCCAUUUCAACUGUCAGUAGAAACCACAUUUGUUUAAGCAAGUCAGCAAUAUCGCCCAUGUUUUUUUUAAGCAGUAAAUGAGGCUAAAUGAACUGUUUCACUGCCAGACAAGGCUCCACUGAUAACCUGGGGUAGCAGUGGUAAGGUUUUGGGACUGCUGUUGGGACUCUGCUGUUGAGACAGCUUUAUGUAGGCCCUAACAGAUUGUGGGCACCGUUUGUCACCGUUAUAGUGCAAUUAAUGUAUUGUUUAGUGUUGUGUUGUGGCAUUGCUGGCAGGCAUCCCACUAAUUUGUUUGGAGUUCGCCCCACCAAGAUUGACAUGCUAAAAUUGACACUGGAGGGUUUCCAGUCCCCAGUUCCUUUUAACAUUGUUUCAACUGACACACAAUGUGCCCCUCGUUUUACAGAUGCUGUCUCAAUGAAGACUGGACUUCUUUGCCGAUUAUCUCCCAUAGAAGUGAAGGCGUGUUCCAUUGGGAAUGACUGACAUCACACAUUUUCCUAAAAAGACAAAACCGGCCAGCAGGACCUAAAACUAUUCUGUCUGAAUAGAUUAUUGUAUGAUACAUUCAUAGUUUUUUUUUGUAACAAAGUGUAUAUUUUUGUACUGAAUCUGUUAAUACCUCGUGUUUAGCAAUUCAAAAAUGCCUUAAUGAUGACAGUCAAACUCAAGAACUCAGUGUUUGCAACAACAACAAACAAAUACAUUUGGUGCUGUGUCUGUCGGUGGUCUUUAAAGCAUACUUUCUGCCCAUUGAAACAAGACAAAAUGGGAAACUUCUGUUCUUUUAAUAAAA
ensembl:lncRNA